UAGAGUGGCGCACGGGUGAGUAACGCGUGGAUAAUCUACCUAUUGGUACGGGACAACAGUUGGAAACGACUGCUAAUACCGUAUAAGCUGGAAACGGGAAAGGGGGCCUCUUCUUGAAAGCUCUCGCCAGUAGAUGAGUCCGCGUUUCAUUAGCUAGACGGUGGGGUAACGGCCUACCGUGGCAACGAUGAAUAGCAGGCCUGAGAGGGUGGCCUGCCACACUGGGACUGGAACACGGCCCAGACUCCUACGGGAGGCAGCAGUGGGGAAUAUUGCGCAAUGGACGAAAGUCUGACGCAGCGACGCCGCGUGGAGGAUGAAGGUUUUCGGAUCGUAAACUCCUGUCAAGAGGGAAGAAACCUAUUAAGAAUAAUACUCUUAGUAAUUGACGGUACCUCUAGAGGAAGCACCGGCUAAUUCAGUGCCAGCAGCCGCGGUAAUACUGAAGGUGCAAGCGUUAAUCGGAAUCACUGGGCGUAAAGCGCUCGUAGGUGGCUUUGUAAGUCAGAUGUGAAAGCCCACGGCUCAACCGUGGAAUUGCAUUUGAUACUGCAUCGCUAGAGUAUAGGAGAGGGAAGUGGAAUUUCUGGUGUAGGAGUGAAAUCCGUAGAGAUCAGAAGGAACACCGGUGGCGAAGGCGACUUCCUGGACUAUUACUGACACUGAGGAGCGAAAGCGUGGGGAGCAAACAGGAUUAGAUACCCUGGUAGUCCACGCCGUAAACGAUGGGUACUAAGUGUCGGAGGCUUGACCUUCGGUGCUGUAGUUAACGCGUUAAGUACCCCGCCUGGGGA
rnacentral:rRNA from 1 species